rnacentral:rRNA from 1 species
CGAACGAUGAACCACUUCGGUGGGGAUUAGUGGCGAACGGGUGAGUAACACGUGGGCAAUCUGCCCUGCACUCUGGGACAAGCCCUGGAAACGGGGUCUAAUACCGGAUACUGACCCGCUUGGGCAUCCAAGCGGUUCGAAAGCUCCGGCGGUGCAGGAUGAGCCCGCGGCCUAUCAGCUAGUUGGUGAGGUAAUGGCUCACCAAGGCGACGACGGGUAGCCGGCCUGAGAGGGCGACCGGCCACACUGGGACUGAGACACGGCCCAGACUCCUACGGGAGGCAGCAGUGGGGAAUAUUGCACAAUGGGCGAAAGCCUGAUGCAGCGACGCCGCGUGAGGGAUGACGGCCUUCGGGUUGUAAACCUCUUUCAGCAGGGAAGAAGCGAAAGUGACGGUACCUGCAGAAGAAGCGCCGGCUAACUACGUGCCAGCAGCCGCGGUAAUACGUAGGGCGCGAGCGUUGUCCGGAAUUAUUGGGCGUAAAGAGCUCGUAGGCGGCUUGUCACGUCGGUUGUGAAAGCCCGGGGCUUAACCCCGGGUCUGCAGUCGAUACGGGCAGGCUAGAGUUCGGUAGGGGAGAUCGGAAUUCCUGGUGUAGCGGUGAAAUGCGCAGAUAUCA